UACGAAGGGGGCUAGCGUUGCUCGGAAUCACUGGGCGUAAAGCGCACGUAGGCGGAUUGCUAAGUCAGGGGUGAAAUCCUGGAGCUCAACUCCAGAACUGCCUUUGAUACUGGCGACCUUGAGUCCGGGAGAGGUGAGUGGAACUGCGAGUGUAGAGGUGAAAUUCGUAGAUAUUCGCAAGAACACCAGUGGCGAAGGCGGCUCACUGGCCCGGUACUGACGCUCAUGCACGAAAGCAUGGGGAGCGAACGGG
rnacentral:rRNA from 1 species